GAAGGAACCCAGACUCCCUUGUUUCUAAGGGUACCAAUCCACACCCCAGGACAAGGAUUAUUUUAACACUUUGACCCUGGUAACUAUAACUAGAAACUAGGCCCAUAAAAAAACAGACAAAACUACAACAAAUGAGAGUAUAUAACCAAUCAGAUUCACUGAAGAGCAAGCUUAUACCAGACAAGAAAUGAUAAAAAUUAGGCAGCAGGAAAAAUAGGGGCCGCGCAUGCAAAGCAAGUGCCGGUAGCUUCCCUGCCCCUCCCGCAACGCUUGACCCCGGGAUCCCCCCGGCUUGCCUGCCCGCCAUGGCCAACAAGGAAGCCUUUGAUGACGCAGAAGAACGUGUAAUCAACGAAGAGUACAAAAUAUGGAAAAAGAACACCCCUUUUCUUUAUGAUUUGGUGAUGACCCAUGCUCUGGAGAGGCCUAGCCUAACUGCACAGUGGCUUCUAGAUGUAACCAGACCAGAAGAGAAAGACUUCAGCAUUCACCAACUUGUCCUGGGAACACACACGUUAGAUGAACAAAACCAUCUUGUGAUAGCCAGUGUGCAGCUCCCUAACGAUGAUGCUCAGUUUGAUGUUUCACACUAGGACAGUGAGAAAGGAGAAUUUGGAGGUUUUGGCUCAGUUAGUGGAAAAACUGAAAUAGAAAUCAGGAUCAACCAUGAAGAAGUAAACCGGGCUCAUUAUAUGCCCAGAACGCUUGCAUCAUUGCAACAAAGACUCCAUCCAGUGAUGUUCUUGUUUUUGACUAUACAAAGCAUCCUUCCAAACCAGAUCCUUCUGGAGAAAGCAACCCAGACUUGCAUCUGCAUGGACAUCAGAAGGAAGGCUAUGGACUUUCUUGGAACCCAAAUCUCAGUGGGCACUUACUUGGUGCUUCAGAUGACCAUACCAUCUGCCUCUGGGACAUCAGUGCUGUUCCAAAGGAAGGAAAAGUGGUGGAUGCGAAGACCAUCUUUACAGGACAUACAGCGGUAGUAGAAGAUGUUUCCUGGCAUCUGCUCCAUGAGUCUCUGUUUGGGUCAGUUGCUGAUGAUCAGAAACAUGAUCUGGGAUACUCGUUCAAACAAUACUUCCAAACAAAGCCACUCAUUUGAUGCUCACACUGCUGAAGUGAACUGCAUAUCUUUCAAUCCUUAUAGUGAGUUCAUUCUGGCCACAGGAUCAGCCGACAAGACUGUUGCCUUGUGGGAUCUGAGAAAUCUGAAACUUAAGUUGCAUUCCUUUGAAUCACAUAAGGAUGAAAUAUUCCAGGUUCAGUAGUUGCCUCACAAUGAGACUAUUUUGGCUUCCAGUGGUACUGAUUGCAGACAAUGUCUGGGAUUUAAGUAAAAUUGGAGAGGAACAAUCCCUAGAAGAUGCAGAAGAUGGGCCACCAGAACUGUUGUUUAUUCAUGGUGGUCACACUGCCAAGAUAUCUGAUUUCUCCUGGAAUCCCAAUGAACCUUGGGUGAUUUGUUCUGUAUCAGAAGACAAUAUCAUGCAAGUGUGGCAAAUGGAAGAGAACAUUUAUAAUGAUGAAGAUCCUGAAGGAAGCGUGGAUCCAGAAGGACAAGGGUCCUAGAUAUGUCUGCACUUCUUGUGAUUUUAGACUCCCCCUUUUUUUUCCUCUCAACCCUGAGAUUGAUUUAACACUGGUUUUGAGACACAGACUUUGUUUGGCUAUCCCUCUAUGAUAGGUACCAUCCCAUCAACAAUGUUACUAGCCCAAACAGAGGGUGUUUUCUAAAUAUUAACUGGGGGACUUGAUUCAGUAAAGCCACAGACUUAUAUUUAAAUUUUCUUUAGGAAUUUUCUAGUAACAAAGGUCUAAAGUAGGCACAGAAAGGGGAAUGUUAUGUGUGGUUAUUUUUCUUCUUAGGCUAUAUCCCCAAGUUUUUCAGACUCCUUUAAGUAAAGACUAAAGUAAGGAAGGAGUAGAGCCAAGUGAGGUAGGUGUCUGAGCCAUGAAGUAUAAAUACCACAAGAUGUCGUUUUUAUUCAGGAAAUGGGGGAAAUUCAAUUCAUAUAAAUUCCUAUUCUAAAAUUUUCACACCUGACUUUCCAGGAUGCACAUUUUCCUAUGUAGACCAGUCUCCUCUCAGUUUCAUCAGUUAAGUCAAAACUAUGUGUUCCUCUUUCCCCCAUAUAUUUUUGCUUGUUAGUGUAUUUCUUGAGCUGUUUUCAUAUUUCUUUCCUUUCUGUGAAAUGUUUUUUUAAAAAACUUGGGACCACCAAGUUGUAAAGAUGUAUGUUUUUACCUGACAGUUAUACCACAGGUAGACUGUCCAGUUGAGUUGAGAAGAGUGAAUUGAUAGCUUGUAUUUGUUUUUAAAGUUAAAUUAAUCCUGGAUAAGAGUUGCUUUUUUUUUUUUUUUAAGGAGUUAGUCUUUGACCACUAGUUUGGUACCAUCUCUAUUUUGGGUGACCUGUUUCACCAGCAGGCCUGUUACUCUCCAUGACUAACUGUGUAAAUGCUUAUAAUGGAAUAAAUUGCUUUUCUACGUAAAAAAAAAAAGAAAAGAAAAGAAAAGAAAAAGAAAUGAUAAAAAUUAGAAUAGAUUCCAACAAAUUUAAAUGGACACAGAAACCCAGUGGCCAUUAGAUUUAUGGCCCAAAGAAAAUCAAAACAUGGUCUUCCCAGGGGUGGAGAUUGCAGAACUUGGACCCAUAACCAUUGAUGCAAAAUUGAAUCAAUACCUUAUAGCAUUUGGAGAAAAUAAUAUUUUACAAAGAUCUUUGUUUGAGUAGCAGCAACCUGGAGAUUAAGAUGGCCUAUACCGGGGCACCUGGGUGGCUCAGUCAUUAAGCGUCUGCCUUCGGCUCAGGUGGUGAUCCCAGAGUCCUGGGAUUGAGCCCCUCAUCGGGCUCCCUGCUCGGCGGGAAGCCUGCUUCUCCCUCUCCUGCUCCCCCUGCUUGUGUUCCCUCUCUCGCUGUGUCUCCCUCUGUCAAAUAAAUAAAUAAAAUCUUUUAAAAAAAUAAAAAAAUAAAAUAAAAAAAAGAUGGCCUAUACCUAAUGUAUUAUUACUUAAAACAUCUUCAUGGAAGAUAGAACCCAAGAUGGAGGUGGAGAAGGAGGACCCUAGGCUCAUCUCAUGCCAUGAACACAUCUAGAUAACUAUCAAUCAUCCUAAAUACCCCAGAAAUCAAUCUGAAGACUGAUAGAACAAACUUCACAACUAAAGGGGGAGAAGAGGCCACAUCAAAGUAGGUAGGAAGUAUAGAGACAUGGUUUAAGGGAGAACCACAUUUCAGGUGCUGCAGAGAGGAGGGAGCC